rnacentral:pre_miRNA from 1 species
UAUAUAUAUGUGUGUGUGUGUGUGUGUGUGUAUAUAUACACACACAUAUGUACACAUGUAAA